UACGUAGGGUGCAAGCGUUAAUCGGAAUUACUGGGCGUAAAGCGUGCGUAGGUGGUUGUUAAGUCUGCUGUGAAGCCCCGGGCUCAACCUGGGAAUGGCAGUGGAUACUGGCAAGCUAGAGUGCGAUAGAGGGGUGUGGAAUUCCUGGUGUAGCGGUGGAAUGCGCAGAUAUCAGGAGGAACACCGAUGGCGAAGGCAGGUCUCUGGGCCGCAACUGACGCUGAGGAGCGAAAGCAUGGGGAGCGAACAGG
rnacentral:rRNA from 1 species